UACGUAGGAGACGAGCGUUGUCCGGAGUUACUGGGCGUAAAGCGUGCGCAGGCGGCUUCUCAAGUCAGGGGUGAAAGCCCAGAGCUCAACUCUGGAAUUGCCUUUGAGACUGAGUGGCUUGAGUACGGGAGAGGUGAGUGGAAUUCCCAGUGUAGAGGUGAAAUUCGUAGAUAUUGGGAAGAACACCGGUGGCGAAGGCGGCUCACUGGCCCGUAACUGACGCUCAUGCACGACAGCGUGGGGAUCAAACAGG
rnacentral:rRNA from 1 species